GUGGCCGUGUACUCCCAGGUGUGUUCACCGUCCAGCAGCACCUGGUCACCCAGGAACUCGCCGUCCGCCAGCACCCCGAGAAGCGUCUGUUCGCCGUACUUGCUCGUCCCGUGCUGAUUGACCUUGCCGUGCGCGAUCAGCACGACCUCGUCCGCCGGCUGGCCGGACUCCACGAUGACCUCGCCCGGCGCGUGCUCCCGCUGGACGAAGCGGUCCGCCAGCUUCUCCAGUACCGAGGUGUCCUCGAAACCCCACAACGGCGGCAACUCGCACAGCUCGGCCGGGAUGGGCCGCACCUCGGCACCGGUGUUGGAGAAGGUCACCCGUCCGUCGCCGAGGGUGUACGUCAGCCUCCGGUUCACCCGGUACGCGCCGCCGGACGCCUGCACCCAGGGCAACAGCCGCAACAACCACCGGGAAGUGAUCGACUGCAUCUGCGGCGGCGUCUUCGUCGUCGUCGACAAGUUCCGCGCCGCAGCCGUGCCCAAGCUCAGCUGGUCCUGAACAUCCUG
rnacentral:antisense_RNA from 1 species